rnacentral:rRNA from 1 species
CCUACGGGAGGCAGCAGUGGGGAAUCUUGCGCAAUGGGCGAAAGCCUGACGCAGCCAUGCCGCGUGUAUGAUGAAGGUCUUAGGAUUGUAAAAUACUUUCACCGGUGAAGAUAAUGACUGUAGCCGGAGAAGAAGCCCCGGCUAACUUCGUGCCAGCAGCCGCGGUAAUACGAAGGGGGCUAGCGUUGCUCGGAAUUACUGGGCGUAAAGGGAGCGUAGGCGGACAUUUAAGUCAGGGGUGAAAUCCCAGAGCUCAACUCUGGAACUGCCUUUGAUACUGGGUGUCUUGAGUGUGAUAGAGGUAUGUGGAACUCCGAGUGUAGAGGUGAAAUUCGUAGAUAUUCGGAAGAACACCAGUGGCGAAGGCGACAUACUGGAUCAUUACUGACGCUGAGGCUCGAAAGCGUGGGGAGCAAACAGGAUUAGAUACCCUGGUAGUCCACGCCGUAAACGAUGAUUGCUAGUUGUCGGGAUGUUUACAUCUCGGUGACGCAGCUACGCAUAAGACAUACCGCCGUCGGGAGGUACGGUCGCGAAGAAGUUAAAACUUAAAAGUUAGAAGUAGACGGCGUGAGACGUGCCGAACGGACGACGACGAGGGAGGUUAGGG